rnacentral:ribozyme from 1 species
CAAAACAUACCGCAAAAUGCCGCAUCUCGGAUAAAAGAUUUGACAAUAGAAACGAGUAUUGCCGAAAUGGAACAAAAUGCCAUAUCUUUAGAUCUUUCUCCUCUGUUU